rnacentral:rRNA from 1 species
AUACGUACCGGACAAACGUUAUUCGGAAUCACUGGGCUUAAAGAGUACGUAGGCUGUCUUGUAGGUGAGGUGUGAAAUCCCACGGCCCAACCGUGGAACUGCGCUUCAAACCACAAGACUUGAGGGAGACAGGGGUGAGCGGAACUGAUGGUGGAGCGGUGAAAUGCGUUGAUAUCAUCAGGAACACCGGUGGCGAAGGCGGCUCACUGGGUCUCUUCUGACGCUGAGGUACGAAAGCUAGGGUAGCGAACGGGAUUAGAAACCCUAGUAGUCC